AGAACGGCGCAUUUGAUUCGAAUGAUCAACUCCGAAAUUCUGUUCGGUUUAGGAAAUUGUUACGUCCACUAACAGCGCGCCCAAAAGUGCGCCCAUGUAAAAUAAUACAGCACGAAUGCGUUGCCAUGGGCUAAUCCUGAGAAGACAUCAUAACUGCGGCAAUAUGACAACCAAAAUGCACUUGUUAUUGCGGUCUGCUUCGUUUCUUCAGCAAAAUCUACGCCAGCCAGCAAGUCCGAAAUGUCUCCACCGAGCCACGCAGAUGGUUCGUCUUUGUAGUACUCAGGCCGGAAAGGUCCACGACACAGCACCAGGUGAGU
rnacentral:lncRNA from 1 species